UGGGGAAUAUUGCGCAAUGGGGGAAACCCUGACGCAGCGACGCCGCGUGGAGGAUGAAGGUCUUCGGGUUGUAAACUCCUUUUCUUGGGGAAAAUAAUGAUGGUACCCAAGGAAUAAGCCACGGCUAACUCUGUGCCAGCAGCCGCGGUAAGACAGAGGUGGCAAGCGUUGUUCGGAAUUACUGGGCUUAAAGGGCGAGUAGGCGGUGAGACAAGUCCGAGGUGGAAUCCUCUGGCUUAACCAGAGAACUGCCUUAGAUACUGUUUCACUUGAGUCAGUGAGGGGAGGGCGGAAUUCCCGGUGUAGCGGUGAAAUGCGUAGAUAUCGGGAGGAAGGCCAGUGGCGAAGGCGGCCCUCUGGCGCUGAACUGACGCUGAGGCGCGAAAGCGUGGGUAGCAAA
rnacentral:rRNA from 1 species